rnacentral:rRNA from 1 species
CAGUAGCCGCGGUAAUACGUAGGGUGCGAGCGUUAAUCGGAAUUACUGGGCGUAAAGCGUGCGCAGGCGGUUGUGUAAGACAGGUGUGAAAUCCCCGGGCUUAACCUGGGAACUGCGCUUGUGACUGCACAGCUAGAGUAUGGUAGAGGGGGGUGGAAUUCCACGUGUAGCAGUGAAAUGCGUAGAGAUGUGGAGGAACACCGAUGGCGAAGGCAGCCCCCUGGGCCAAUACUGACGCUCAUGCACGAAAGCGUGGGGAGCAAACAGGAUUAGAUACCCCCGUAGUCCCUGUCUCUUAUAA